rnacentral:rRNA from 1 species
UGAGGAGUAUUGGGCAAUGCCCGCAAGGGUGACCCAGCAACGCCGCGUGGAGGAUGAAUGUCGUAAGAUUGUAAACUCCUGUUAGAGGGGAAGAAUAGUACCGGUUGGACCGGUAUAUGACUGUACCCUCAGAGAAAGCCCCGGCUAACUACGUGCCAGCAGCCGCGGUAAUACGUAGGGGGCAAGCGUUGUCCGGAUUUACUGGGUGUAAAGGGCGCGCAGGCGGGAUAAAAAGUCAGUGGUGAAAUCCUACAGCUUAACUGUAGAACUGCCUUGGAUACUUUUAUUCUUGAGUUCGGGAGAGAGAGACGGAAUUCCAGGUGGAGUGGUGAAAUACGUAGAUAUCGGGAAGAACACCAGUUGCGAAGGCGGUCUCUUGGUCCGACACUGACGCUGAGGCGCGAAAGCGUGGGGAGCAAACA